rnacentral:rRNA from 1 species
ACAUGCCUACAACAUAGCGUUAUUUCACUAGAGCCCAUUAGAACUCCGCAGUUAAGUGCGCUCAGGCUAGAGUAGUACUGGGAUAGGUGACUGCUCAGGAAGUCCUAGUGUUUUCCAUGCC